rnacentral:lncRNA from 1 species
AUGUCAAAGAAACACUGGACAGCCAUAGCUGAGUUUAUUCCCCUGGGACCGACAGAUCAAGCCGAGUUGCAGCUUGUCCUUUUUUUCUGUCACGUUCCUGGUCAUUUACCUUAUUAUGGUAAUGGGCAAUUUGAGCAUGAUUUUGAUCAUUAGAAGUGACUGAAAACUUCACAUUCCAAUGUACUUCUUCCUCAGUCACCUCUCCUUUGCAGUUCUCUGUUAUACUCUCAAUGUCACUCCUCAGAUAUUGGUUAAUUUCCUAUCCAAGAGAAAAACCAUUUUCUUCAUUGGUUGUGUAAGUUGGUUAUGUUUUAUAAUUCUACUUUUUCAUUGUCCUGAUAAUCAGAGAUUAUCAUAUGCUUACAGUGAUGGCUAAUGACUGCUACAUGGCCAUUUGCAAGCCCUUGUUAUAUGGUAGUAAAAUGUCCAGAUUUGUCUGCCUCUCUCUGGCUUCUGUUUCUUAAAUAUAUGGCUUUGCAAACUAUCUGGCACAGACCAUCCGGAUGCUUCUUCUGUCCUUCUGAGGAUCCAAUGAGAUCAACCACUUUGACUGUGCGGACCCCCCUCUGUUAGUCCUCCCUUGCGCAGGUACCUGUGUCAAAUAAAUCAUCAUGUUGA